rnacentral:rRNA from 1 species
CGGUAGCUAAAUGCGGAAGAGAUAAGUGCUGAAAGCAUCUAAGCACGAAACUUGCCCCGAGAUGAGUUCUCCCUGACUCCUUGAGAGUCCUGAAGGAACGUUGAAGACGACGACGUUGAUAGGCCGGAUGUGUAAGCGCAGCGAUGCGUUGAGCUAACCGGUACUAAUGAACCGUGAGGCUUAACCUUACAACGCCGAAGCUGUU